GCCCCGGUAGCUCAGCUGGAUAGAGCAUCCCCCUCCUAAGGGGAAGGCCGGACGUUCAAAUCGUCUCCGGGGCACCA
rnacentral:tRNA from 1 species